ACUCCUACGGGAGGCAGCAGUGGGGAAUAUUGCACAAUGGGGGAAACCCUGAUGCAGCCAUGCCGCGUGUGUGAAGAAGGCCUUGGGUUGUAAAGCACUUUCAGUAGGGAGGAAGGUAGUGUAGUUAACACCUGCAUUAUUUGACGUUACCUACAGAAGAAGCACCGGCUAACUCCGUGCCAGCAGCCGCGGUAAUACGGAGGGUGCGAGCGUUAAUCGGAAUUACUGGGCGUAAAGCGCAUGCAGGCGGCCUGUUAAGUCAGAUGUGAAAGCCCGGGGUCUUAACCGUCGGAAUUGCAUUUGAAACUGGCAGGCUAGAGUCUUGUAGAGGGGUUAGAAUUUCAGGUGUAGCGGUGAAAUGCGUAGAGAUCUAGAAGGUAAUACCCGAGUGGUCGAAGGCCGGCCCCCUAGGACAAAGACUGACGCUCAGAUGCGAAAGCGUGGGAGCAAACGAGGAUUAGACUACCCGU
rnacentral:rRNA from 1 species